UACGUAGGGUGCAAGCGUUGUCCGGAAUUAUUGGGCGUAAAGAGCUCGUAGGCGGUCUGUCACGUCGGCUGUGAAAACCCGAGGCUCAACCUCGGGCCUGCAGUCGAUACGGGCAAACUAGAGUACUGCAGGGAGACUGGAAUUCCUGGUGUAGCGGUGAAAUGCGCAGAUAUCAGGAGGAACACCGGUGGCGAAGGCGGUUCUCUGG
rnacentral:rRNA from 1 species